rnacentral:rRNA from 1 species
GUCACUGCUAUCAGUGUUCGACUAAGCCAUGCAAGUCAAAUGUUCUUCGUGAACAUGGCGGACUGCUCAGUAACACGUGGAUAACCUGCCCUUAGGAUUGGCAUAACACCGGGAAACUGGUGAUAAUACCGAAUAGACCAUUUAUGCUGGAAUGCUUAUUGGUUCAAAGGCUUCGGCUGCCUAAGGAUGGAUCUGCGGCCUAUCAGGUAGUAGUGGGUGUAAUGUACCUACUAGCCUACGACGGGUACGGGUUGUGAGAGCAAGAGCCCGGAGAUGGAUUCUGAGACAUGAAUCCAGGCCCUACGGGGCGCAGCAGGCGCGAAAACUUUACAAUGCGGGAAACCGCGAUAAGGGGACACUGAGUGCCAGCAUAUUAUGUUGGCUGUCCACAUGUAUAAAAACCAUGUGUUAGCAAGGGCCGGGCAAGACCGGUGCCAGCCGCCGCGGUAACACCGGCGGCCCGAGUGGUGAUCACUUUUAUUGGGUCUAAAGGGUCCGUAGCCGGUUUGAUCAGUCCUCCGGGAAAUCUGACAGCUUAACUGUUAGGCUUCCGGGGGAUACUGUCAGACUUGGGACCGGGAGAGGUAAGAGGUACUACAGGGGUAGGAGUGAAAUCUUGUAAUCCCUGUGGGACCACCAGUGGCGAAGGCGUCUUACCAGAACGGGUCCGACGGUGAGGGACGAAAGCUGGGGGCACGAACCGGAUUAGAUACCCGGGUAGUCCCAGCCGUAAACGAUGCUCGCUAGGUGUCAGGGACGGUGCGACCGUUUCUGGUGCCGCAGGGAAGCCGUGAAGCGAGCCACCUGGGAAGUACGGCCGCAAGGCUGAAACUUAAAGGAA